rnacentral:rRNA from 1 species
UACGUAGGGACCGAGCGUUGUCCGGAAUCAUUGGGCGUAAAGAGCGUGUAGGCGGCUAUUUAAGUCCUGCGUGAAAUCCUGCGGCUCAACCGCAGACGGUCGUGGGAAACUGGAUGGCUAGAGUGCGGGAGAGGAGAGUGGAAUUCCCGGUGUAGCGGUGAAAUGCGCAGAUAUCGGGAAGAACACCCGUGGCGAAGGCGGCUCUCUGGACCGCAACUGACGCUGAGACACGAAAGCGUGGGUAGCAAACAGG